AUCUCCGAAUCAGCUAUGGCGCCUGGUAGACUGGCCCGUCUUGAAACACGGACCAAGGAGUCCAGCCUAUGUGCAAGUAGAGAGACUGUAAAUCUCGAUGCGUAACGAAAGUGAUCUCUGUAGCAGCAGAGGCCGCGUCAGCGAGCUCAGCAGAUAGGCUGGGACCCGAAAGAUGGUGAACUAUGCUUGGGAAAGGCGAAGCCAGGGGAAACUCUGGUGGAGGCUUGUAGAGGUACUGACGUGCAAAUCGUUCUUCUGACCUGAGUAUAGGGGCGAAAGACUUAUCGAACCAUCUAGUAGCUGGUUCCCUCCGAAAUUUCCCUCAGGAUAGCAAGAGCAUAGCAGUUUUACCGGGUAAAGCGAAUGAUUAGAGGUUCGGGGGUUGAAAUGACCUUCACCUAUUCUCAAACUUUAAAUCGGUAAGAUGGGCCCGUUACUUCAGUGAACAGGCUCUUGAAUGCAGCGCUCUUAGUGGGCCAUUUUUGGUAAGCAGAACUGGCAACGAGGGGUCAACCUAAGGAGAGGUUGAGGCGACAAAUUGACUGCUCAUAGAUGGAAAGGUGUUGGUUCAUUUAGACAGUAGGACGGUGGCCAUGGAAGUCGGAAUCCGCUAAGGAGUGUGUAACAACUCACCUACCGAAUGGACUAGCCCUGAAAAUGGAUGUCGCUAAGCAGUUAGCCGAUACCUCUCCGUCUGGCUCUAGGUAACCAGGCGAGUAGGAGGGCGUGAGGAUAGCGUGGAAGUGUGAAUGUGAAUUCACAUGGAGCUGUUCUUAGUGCAGAUCUUGGUGAUAGUAGCAGCUAUUCAAGAAAGACCCUUGAAGACUGAAGUGGAGAAGGGUUUCAUGAGAACAACACUUGGUCAUGAGUGACUCGGUCCUAAGGUGAUUAUAGCCGAAAGGGAAAAAGGUUAAAAUUCCUUUAGCUAGCAGUGGGUCUUGUGUGGUAACACAACUGAGCUCAGAGACGUCGGAGUGGAACCCCAGGGAGAGUUCUCUUUUCUUCUUAACAAGUCGCCGCCCUGGAGGUCGUUGUGACGAGAGAGGGCCAUAGACUUGGCAGAGCAGUGCACCCUUUGCGCUGUCUGGUGCGUUUCCUUCGACCCUUGAAAAUCUGAGGGAACUUUGAUCGCUUGCUAGGCCGUACCCACAACCGCAUCAGGUCUCCAAGGUUAGCAGCCUCUAGUGCUUAGAAUAAUGUAGGUAAGGGAAUUCGGCAAAUUCGAUCUGUAACUUCGGGAUAAAGAUUGGCUCUGAGGGUCAGGCUGUAAGCGCUGAGAAGCGGCCAGGCUCCCCUUGUGGUUGCCGGCUGCACUCGGCAGUCUUGCAGCAGCGAAUGACUAACUCAGAACUGGAGCAGCGAGGGGAAUCCGACUGUUUAAUUAAAACAGAGCAUUGUGAUGGCCCCGGGGGUGUUGACACAAUGUGAUUUCUGCCCAGUGCUCUGAAUGUCAAAGUGAAGAAAUUCAACCAAGCGCGGGUAAACGGCGGGAGUAACUAUGACUCUCUUAAGGUAGCCAAAUGCCUCGUCAUCUAAUUAGUGACGUGCAUGAAUGGAUUAACGAGAUUCCCACUGUCCCUAUCUACCAUCUAGCGAACCCACAGCCAAGGGAACGGGCUUGGCAGCAUCAGCGGGGAAAGAAGACCCUGUUGAGUUUGACUCUAGUCUGACUUUGUGAAAUGGCGUAAGAGGUGUAGGCAAGUGGGAGCCCUGCGAUCUUGAAAAACCACUACUCUUGAUGUCAUUUUACUUAUUCCGUUAGGUUGGGCCCACUUCGUGGUUCUAGUACUUAUCCAAGGCGGAAGACAUUGUCAGGUUGGGAGUUUGGCUGGGGCGGCACAUCUGUUAAAUGAUAACACAGGUGUCCUAAGGCAAGCUCAAAGAGAACAGAAAUCUCUUGUUGACCAGAAGGGGAAAAGCUUGCUUGAUUUUGAUUCUCAGUACGAAUACAAACUGUGAAAGCAUGGCCUAACGAUCCUUUGCUUUUUAAGAGUCUUAAACCAGAGGUGUCAGAAAAAUUACCACAGGGAUAACUGGCUUGUGGCAGCCAAGCGUUCAUAGCGACGUUGCUUUUUGAUUCUUCGAUGUCGGCUCUUCCUAUCAUUGUGAAGCACAGUUCACAAAGUGUCGGAUUGUUCACCCGCUAAUAGGGAACGUGAGCUGGGUUUAGACCGUCGUGAGACAGGUUAGUUUUACCCUACUGAUAACCAUGUCGCUACAGUAAUCCAAUUCAGUACGAGAGGAACCAUUGGGUCAGGUCACUGGUUUAUGCGAUCUCCUGACAAGGAGUGUUGCGAUGCUACCACCUGUUUGAUAAUGACUGAACGCCUCUAAGUCAGAAUCAAUGCUGGCCGCGACGUACUCCAGAUGCCCAUGGAAACUAUAAAUACACUCCCAAAACGUUCGCUGAUGGUACACACUGUGCCUAGGCGGAUUUAUCAAUAACCAAACGGUGUCUGGGACAAAUCCUUUGUAGACGACUUAAGCGGAACGAGGGAUUGUAAGUAUGAAAGUAAGCUUGUCUUACGAUCUACUGAGAUCCAUCCUCCUUCCUUCGAUUU
rnacentral:rRNA from 1 species